GUUCUUGUCGGUGAUCAUUGCCAGCUUGGUCCAGUCAUUAUGUGCAAGAAAGCUGCUCGUGCUGGGCUUGCCCAAUCUCUCUUUGAGCGCCUUGUUUUACUUGGUUUGAAACCGAUUAGAUUGCAGGUGAGUACUAUUUUCCUUUUGCUUUCUGCUUUGUACCUGUUGACUUUUAACUUUAUAAAGUUGGAAGAUUGCUGCGAUGAUUAGGCUUUUGUUGUAUGGACGUAUAUUUGUGUUUGUUGGGGGGGGGGUAUGAGUGUCCUGCAUCUCUAUAUCUAAUUGCUCAAGCUUAACAAUUAGCUGGUGUACAGAUUAAGUGAUUUAUUUUUAUAAACUGGUUUUAGUUAUUUUUCCAUAGCAUGACCUUUUUUUAAGAGCUUGGCAAUUCCUUUAGUUGCUGAUACUAUUUGUUUGGCUGUUUCAUAUAUGAAUUCUCUCUGUUGUCUUUUUCCUGAACUCCUGUUGAUAUAUUUUCUUGAAAUUUUCCCCCUCUUAUAUCCAUCUUCAGGAAUUAUUCAAAAAAGUGGUCUGACCUUUUUCUUUUCUUCUUGUAUAUCUUUGAUUGCGGAUUGUUUUGACCAAUAUUUAAUUCCAGAAUAAUGUUGUGUUCUCAACUCUCAGAAAUCUUUUAAGGUCACGAUUGUAGGAUAUGUCAUGUUCUGACUAAUGAAGUAUUUUCUGUUCCCCUCAACUUCAGGUU
rnacentral:lncRNA from 1 species